CACCGGCGCUUUCACAUCGUCUUUCGGCCAGACCGCUUCCCCCCGCCACCACCUGUCCCACCACCACCUGUCCCACCACCCCCACCACCUUCUCCAAAGUUCUUCUCCUUCCCAGUCAAGGCCGCCGCCCCCACCGUCUACCCGCUGAUCUCCUGCGAGGGCUGCCAGGACAAGGUCACCUUCGGUUGCUUGGUCAACAACUUCUUCCCCCAACCCAUCACCGUCACCUGGGUCUCCAGCAUUUCAGGAGAAGUUGAGACCUUCCCGGUCAUCUACAGGCCUGGGACCUACUACACCCUCAGCAGCGAGUUGACCGUCCCAGCCGUCAACGUGGACAACGAGAUCUUCCAGUGCAGGGUGGACCACAGAAGCACCGGAACCAUCAUCAAGAACAUCACGGGUGUGUGUCCGUCAGAGAAGGUGACAAUCAAGCUCCUGAGCGACCCGGUCCAGGACAGCUCGGAGGGGAAGGUCCUUCUGCUGUGCCUCGUGGAGGGGAGGACAGCUGGUGACUCCAAGGUGCAGUGGCUGAGGAACCACGAGGUGAUGGACCUGCGGCAGGAGGACUACACCUGCGACCAGUGCUCCACGGAGAAGGCCACCUUCACCAGCAAGGUCAACGUCAGCCUGGAGAUCUGGAACCUGGGGGCCGAGUUCUCCUGCAAGGUCACCCACCCUUCGCUGCAGGAACCGGCCAUCCUCAACAUCAGCACCUUCUGCUCAGAUGACAGACCGGACGUGGAGGUCACCAUCACCCCCCCAUCCCUGGAGGACCUCUUCCUCAGCCAGAACGCCAGCAUCACCUGCUUGGCCGUCAACCUGAAGUCCCCAGAGGACGUGAAGUUCUCCUGGAGCCGGGACGAAGGUAACGCCUUGGAGGCCACCAAGGGACCGGUGGUCAAGUUGGAGAACGGUCUCUACCAGAUGAGCAGCACCCUCAAGCUCUGCGCCGACGAGUGGAACUCUGGUGAGAAGUUCACCUGCACCGUCAACAUCCCCGACCUGGGCGAGCCCAUCGUCAGGUCCAUUAGGAAAGACACAGAUGUCUCCGUGAAGCCACCUUCCGUCUACGUCUUCCCGCCCAGCCGGCGGAGCAGCUGGCCCAGCAGGAGGUGGCCACCUUGACCUGCCUGGCUUUGGGUUUCAGUCCCCGCGACAUCCUGGUGACCUGGACCCAGCAGGAUCGUCCGGUGACCCCCGGCAGCUUCUCCACCUUUGGUCCUCAGGCAGAAGGUGACACCUACACGGUCUACAGCAAGUUGGACGUGCCGGUGGCCUCCUGGCAGCGCGGCGACACCUUCGCGUGCGUGGUGGGCCACCAGGGCAUCCCCAUGAACUUCGUGCAGAGGAGCUUGGACAAGUCCAUGGGUAAACCCACCGCCGUCAACGUCUCGGUGGUCCUGGCCGACGCCGACGUCACCUGCUACUGAGCCGGGGGUGGGG